rnacentral:rRNA from 1 species
UUUCUUUGGAGAGUUUGAUCCUGGCUCAGGACGAACGCUGGCGGCGUGCCUAAUACAUGCAAGUCGAGCGGACCG